ensembl:lncRNA
GAAUGUGUUGCACAACUGAACAUGAGGCAGCUUCUGUCAAUUGGAAUGGAUGGCCCCAAUGUAAAUUUUAAGCUCUUAGAUCUCCUUCAAAAGGAGCAUGCUGAGCUGCAUGGAGGCACUCAAGUCAUAAUGUUUGGGAGCUGUGGACUUCAUACCCUCCACAAUGCCAUGAAGGCAGGCUUUACAGCCUGGCAACUUGAAAAACUCCUGCGAGCAAUGCAUUUUCUGUUCUACAAUGUCCCUGCCCGGAAAGAGGACUUCACGAACCUCACCAGGUCCUCUUGCUUUCCCCUCUCUUUCUGCGGCCAUAGAUGGGUGGAAAAUGUUUGCAGAGAGAGCAAUCAAGGUUUGGCCCAUGCUUCAAAAGUUUGUGGAUGCUGCAGAAGAUAAGAGGGUCCAAAAAACCAGCACGGCCUCAUAUGAUGCCAUCUUGGCAGCGCGAGGGGAUCCUCUCGUCAUCACAAAGCUGGAAUUCUUCCUUGCAAUUGCAAGAAGUUUUAACCCCUUUUUACAGAGAUACCAAAUAGAUGAGCCAGUGUUGCCUUUUUUGGUAAAAGACCUAACUAAGCUCCUGAUGGUGAUGUCAUCAUUCAGCAAUUCACAUCCUUUCUCUCUGUUGAGGGCAGAGAAGAAGAAUUUGUGUCUUUUCAACCCCUGAGUCAGCGUCUGGAUGUCUUUCUCCACUCCAAACUCUGCACGUCCCACCUUGACCUGCUAAAAUUCUGCCAAAGUGUUCUCCUCCUGUACCAUGGACAAGCCACAGUGGAGAGAGGCUUCUCAGUGAACAAGGAGGUAGAAACGUGCAACCUGCUUGACGAAUCUCUCGAAGCCCUCAGAUUAAUCUGCGAUAAGGUAAUUGGCUGUGGUGGCAUUCUCAAAGUUCCUCUUACCAAGGAGCUCCUGGCCUCUGCUGCUUCAGCGAGGUCACAUUACAGUCUAUACCUGGAAAAUGAAUGAAAAAAGAAGUCGAGUGCCACACAAGAGCAAAAGAGGAAAGCAGCAGAGAAAGAACUGGAGGAUCUCCGGAACCAGCGGCAGGUACUCAAUGUUCACUUGAAGUUGAUGCCGACAAGUUUGCAGAGAUUGCAGAGGGAAAGACAGGAACAAAGAUGGCUGAGCUCAUUACAAAAUCCAACUCUCUUCGAAGAAGAUACAAGGACAAAAAAGCUGAACUGCUCCAAGUGGACAAAAUGAUAGAAGAAAAGGCCACACAGUUGAGGCACUUGUGAUCCUGUUGACUAACUGUAAUUUUACCAAGCAACUUUGACUUUUGUUAGUUCCCUUGGUUGUGUAAGUUGCGUAAGUUAGUUUGAUCGUUAUUUGUCAAUUGUUAGCCUACUGCUGGAAGUACCCUAUCUAGCACAAGGAAUUUAACAUCUCCUAUGUGUAUCUUUGAUAAUUUAAAACAUAUAAUGUUAGAGAUCUAUAUCACCCGUAUCUGGCAUUCAGAGAGCCUGGCUAUAUCCAGCAUUUCAAAGGGGGAUUUAAGUUGUAGCCUAAAGUGGAGGUUGUAUAGGGAAAUGUGUUUGCAGGGAACCUAUUGGUGUAAGGCACAUAGUUAACGAGAUAUUCUGCACUUUAUUAAUAAGGCACUUUAUUCUACUAAGGGCCAAAUGAGUAGACAUGCCAAUGACUGGUCAACAUAGGCCCAAUGUUAC